GAUGAACGCUAGCGACAGGCUUAACACAUGCAAGUCGAGGGGCAGCAUAGAAGUAGCAAUACUUUGGUGGCGACCGGCGCACGGGUGAGUAACGCGUAUGCAACCUACCUAUCAGAGGGGAAUAACCCGGCGAAAGUCGGACUAAUACCGCAUAAAACAGGGGCACCGCAUGGUGAUAUUUGUUAAAGAAAUUCGCUGAUAGAUGGGCAUGCGUUCCAUUAGGUAGUUGGUGAGGUAACGGCUCACGAAGCCGACGAUGAUAGGGGAACUGAGAGGUGGGUCCCCCCCACUGGUACUGAGACACGGACCAGACUCCUACUGGAGGCAGCAGUGAGGAAUAUUGGUCAAUGGGCGAGAGCCUGAACCAGCCAAGUCGCGUGAAGGAAGAAGGAUCUAUGGUUCGUAAACUUCUUUUGCAGGGGAAUAAAGUGCAGGACGUGUCCUGUUUUGUAUGUACCCUGAGAAUAAGGAUCGGCUAACUCCGUGCCAGCAGCCGCCGCAG
rnacentral:rRNA from 1 species